UCGCACCUACCGAUUGGAUGGUCCGGUGAGAAUUUCGGAUUGUGGUUUCGUCGCUUUAAUUAGGGAUGUCAUCGCGAGAAGUUAUUCAAACCUUACCAUCUAGAGGAAGGUG
rnacentral:rRNA from 1 species